rnacentral:misc_RNA from 1 species
GGGAUGUUCUCAUCACUUGUUGUGGCUGCCUUGUCUGGCUGUGUAAAUGUGCUGCUGACAAAUCCCAUUUGGGUAGUUGUUGCACGAAUGCAGACUCAUACAAAAGUGUCAAAGAAAUCCCAGCCAAGUAGCUCAUUGUCAGUUGCCACAGACGAAACUGUUCUAGAUGCAAUUGAGCCUCCUCCAUAUGGAACUAAUCAUGCAAUUCAAGAAGUCUAUGAUGAAGCUGGAGUUUGUGGCUUUUGGAAAGGCGUAUUCCCAACAUUGAUCAUG